rnacentral:lncRNA from 1 species
CUAGAUUCGCGUCACAUUUCCCCGCGCUGUUAACGCCUAUGGACAACCAUUUUGUGUUGUCCAUGAGACGAGCGGUGGAAGUCCGUCAGUGGUUCUUGGAUGGACAUUAGGUACACAGCCGACCUGUGACCAAUGUCGGAAGCGUACUACCCCAGACCAGCAGGACUGUCUUACUGUUAAUGGACAGAACCCUGGUCAGAUAUAUCUAGGGUGGUGGUCUGAGCUCUAGUUGGGUGAUUUGGCGUCUGGGGUAUCUGAAGCCGGAUAGAUUUAUGACAUUUCAGCUGCAUUAUUCACUCCUUUAACAAAGUUUUUAACCCUGGCGAACUCCAUUAUUGAGGUACAAGGACCUUUAUGGUUAUAUGUGGGGAUCCGAUAUCAUGUACCCCUCCGUGAUAGUCCUGAGGGGAACAUGUAAUCAUACUGAGUCCAGUGCUUCAUAUUGGUUGUUUCCGAGCUGGGGUUAAAUUCUCUUGUGACUGGAUGGAUGAGUGCAGCUGAACUAGAAUAAAUCUGUUUUCGCAACAGUACCUCUUGCGUCGGAAAGUCUGAUUAGGGUAAAGGUCAUCUGGUCCAGAAUAUCUGACUGACGGAAGGCCUGCCAGCCUCCAGAGGAGGAGGGAGCGUUUUUCCCGACCUCUAUAGGUCCCCCGGAGGUCCAUAGGAGGACACGGGGGACGUGCCUGGAGGUGGCAUUGAGACACUGCCAUGUUUCAUGAUGGUUUGACUUUCUUCACACUGAGCCACAGUGUGGAGGCAGUCAAAAGGGCUGUGCUAAGGGCCCAAGGGUGUGACAUAGUGGCAGGUCUAUGUCGCCGUAGAGCGGGGAAAUUCCGUUAGGCAAGUACGAUGUUGGGUUCAAGACUGGACGCAUCAGAAGCAUUAGUGCCUUUUCCUGAAGGUAUGAGAAUUUCUUUAUUGUGCUAAGUUAAUUAAGAUGGAAAGAUCA